GACAGAGGGCAGCAAAAUUGGAACUACAGCAGAAGGCAGUUGAGAGUGAAAACAGAACCUGCAGCCCCCAUCUUGUACACACUGAUCUGCCAUUUGAUCUUAUUUCAUGGAUCUCUGUACAGGUGAUUGUCACGACAGGAAUACAGGAAGGACAGGAGACCCGCAUGCUGAAGACAGGGGAGUUCAUUGGAGGGAAGAGGCAACCAGGAGGCAGAAAUGUAGUCAGGGACACAGUGCAAGACAGGUCACCUAUAGAUGCACACAAAACUUACCUCAGGCAGAAAAAUUGAGAAUUCCAGCAUUUGACUAAAUGAUAUUGGUGUGACGUCUAUCCUGACCACUCCCUGUACUUCGUCGGAUGAUCUUCAGGCUGCCCACGACCCUGUACUGAAGAAGAGGGUGCUUGAUUAUACCCAGAGUCAUUGAUGGAGAGGGGACCUUGUAAUCCAUGUGCCUGGAAAUACUUCUCUCUGUUGCUAUAGUGUUGUGUUUUUAAUGAAUGUGUCUAUUCACCUCUCUCUCUUUUUCUUCUGUCCUUGUUGGCAUUUCCUUGAACCUGAAUGUUCAUCUGCUUAAAAUAUCUAGAAAUUUAGAUAUUUCUAUCUUUCUGUUUACAGGUUACAGUCUAGUAAACAUUUUACACACACAGAGCAUGGCAGAGAAACGUAAUAAUUUAAAUACAAUACAUUUAAACAAUAAAUUUAAAUGCAGUGAACCCAUUUGAACCUGCAUUCAUCAAUUAAAGAGCAGUUUGGUACUGGAAUAGUCA